GACAGAGGGUGCAAACGUUGUUCGGAUUUACUGGGCGUAAAGCGCGUGUAGGCGGCUUUGCAAGUCGGAUGUGAAAGCCCACGGCUCAACCGUGGAAGUGCAUCCGAAACUGCAUGGCUUGAGUCUCGGAGAGGAAGGUGGAAUGCUUGGUGCAGAGGUGAAAUUCGUAGAUAUCAAGCAGAACACCUGCGGCGAAGGCGGCCUUCUGGACGAUGACUGACGCUGAGACGCGAAAGCGUGGGGAGCAAACAGG
rnacentral:rRNA from 1 species